UGGCUUAGUGGUAAAGAAUCUGCCUGCAAUGCAGGACACUUGGGUUAGAUCCCAA
rnacentral:tRNA from 1 species